rnacentral:rRNA from 1 species
GACGAACGCUGGCGGCGCGCUUAAUACAUGCAAGUCGAACGGUGAACGGGGCUUCGGCCCCGGGAUCAGUGGCGAACGGGUGCGUAACACGUGGGCAACCUGCCCCUCACUCUGGGAUAACCCCGGGAAACCGGAGCUAAUACCGGAUACUCCGCGCGAGCCGCAUGGCUCGAACGGGAAAGGUCCGCCGGUGAGGGAUGGGCCCGCGGCCUAUCAGCUUGUUGGUGAGGUAACGGCUCACCAAGGCUUCGACGGGUAGCUGGUCUGAGAGGACGACCAGACACACUGGGACUGAGAUACGGCCCAGACUCCUACGGGAGGCAGCAGUAGGGAAUCUUGCGCAAUGGGCGAAAGCCUGACGCAGCGACGCCGCGUGGGGGAUGAAGGCCCUCGGGUUGUAAACCCCUUCCGGCAGGGACGAAGCGAUCGUGACGGUACCUGCAGAAGAAGCCUCGGCUAACUACGUGCCAGCCGCCGCCGUAAUAC